UGGCGAACGGGUGAGUAACACGUGGGUAAUCUGCCCUGUACUCUGGGAUAAGCCUGGGAAACUGGGUCUAAUACCGGAUAGGACACACUACCGCAUGGUGGUGUGUGGAAAGUUCCGGCGGUACAGGUUGAGCCCGCGGCCUAUCAGCUUGUUGGUGGGGUGAUGGCCUACCAAGGCGACGACGGGUAGCCGGCCUGAGAGGGUGACCGGCCACACUGGGACUGAGACACGGCCCAGACUCCUACGGGAGGCAGCAGUGGGGAAUAUUGCACAAUGGGCGCAAGCCUGAUGCAGCGACGCCGCGUGGGGGAUGACGGCCUUCGGGUUGUAAACCCCUUUCGCCCGGGACGAAGCGCAAGUGACGGUACCGGGAGAAGAAGCACCGGCCAACUACGUGCCAGCAGCCGCGGUAAUACGUAGGGUGCAAGCGUUGUCCGGAAUUAUUGGGCGUAAAGAGCUCGUAGGCGGUGUGUCACGUCUGCCGUGAAAACCUGCGGCUUAACCGUGGGCGUGCGGUGGAUACGGGCAUCACUUGAGUUCGGUA
rnacentral:rRNA from 1 species